rnacentral:rRNA from 1 species
AUUGAACGCUGGCGGCAUGCCUAACACAUGCAAGUCGAACGGUAACGACGGGAGCUUGCUCCCGGGCGACGAGUGGCGGACGGGUGAGUAAUACUUAGGAAUCUGCCCAGUAGUGGGGGACAACUCGAGGAAACUCGAGCUAAUACCGCAUACGCCUACGGGGGAAANCGGGGGAUCUUCGGACCUCGCGCUAUUGGAUGAGCCUAAGUCGGAUUAGCUUGUAGGUAGGGUAACGGCCUACCUAGGCAACGAUCCGUAGCUGGUCUGAGAGGACGAUCAGCCACACUGGAACUGAGACACGGUCCAGACUCCUACGGGAGGCAGCAGUGGGGAAUAUUGGACAAUGGGCGCAAGCCUGAUCCAGCAAUGCCGCGUGUGUGAAGAAGGCCUGCGGGUUGUAAAGCACUUUCAGUAGAGAAGAAAAGCUUACGGUUAAUACCUGUGAGUCUUGACGUAACCUACAGAAGAAGCACCGGCUAACUCCGUG